UUCCGGUUGAUCCUGCCGGAGGCUACUGCUAUUGGGAUUCGACUAAGCCAUGCGAGUCAAGGUGUCUUCGGACGCCGGCAUACGGCUCAGUAACACGUAGGUAACCUACCCUUAGGACUGGGAUAACUCCGGGAAACUGGGGCUAAUACCAGAUAGAUAAAAGAUACUGGAAUGUUCUUUUAUCCAAAGCUUUUGUGCCUAAGGAUGGGCCUGCGUCCGAUUAGGUUGUUGGUGGGGUAAUGGCCCACCAAGCCUGCGAUCGGUACGGGCAGUGGGAGCUGUAGCCCGGAGUUGGGGACUGAGACAAGGCCCCAGGCCCUACGGGGCGCAGCAGGCGCGAAACCUCUGCAAUGCGGGAAACCGUGACAGGGGGAUCCCAAGUGCUCAUGCAUUGCAUGGGCUGUUCUUUGGUCUAAGUAACCAGAGGAGUAAGGGCUGGGCAAGACCGGUGCCAGCCGCCGCGGUAAUACCGGCAGCUCAAGUGGUAGCCGCGAUUAUUGGGCCUAAAACGUUCGUAGCCGGAUAAGUAAGUCUUUGGUUAAAUCCUGCGACUUAACCGUGGGAAAUCUAGAGAUACUGCUUGUCUUGAGACCGGGAGAGGUUGGAGGUACUCCCAGGGUAGGGGUGAAAUCCUGUAAUCCUGGGGGGACCAC
rnacentral:rRNA from 1 species